GGGUGCGUGGCUGGAGAACUUCUCCCUUGGGGAGGGGGGAGAAACUCUGAGCCUUUGCUCCGGGUGACCGAAUGUCUAGCUUCACCGCUGCUUGUGGGCACACCCUAAUCAUG